rnacentral:misc_RNA from 1 species
ACCAAUGACUAUGAUGUGAAAAUGCGCAAUGUUUUCAAGUUUCUGGAAAACGGAGAUAAGGUGAAAGUCACCUUGCGUUUCCGUGGUCGCGAGAUGGCUCACCUUAACCUUGGUCGCGAACUUCUGGAACGCGUUGCUGACGACAUCGAAGGCAAAGGCAAGGUCGAGAACUUCCCCAAGAUGGAAGGUCGCCAAAUGAUCAUGCUGAUCGGCCCGAUGAAAGCCUGAUCUAUCCGAUUUGUUUGAUUUUGAGAGCCCCGAGGACCCGCUGGUCGUCGGGGCUUUUUCUUAUCUAGCUUCGUUUUGGAUUGCGCGGGUGCGGGCGCGUCGGA